AACAACAUACAACUUCAACCAGCCAAUACCCGACCCGAUUUCGUCCAAAUUCGAUCCGACAAAGAUCUGAAGUAGCUUGUUCUCACCUAAACGUCUUCCUCUCUACUUGAAUCCAUACUUCCUCACGUGAUUAGCAUGGUGAUUAACACGAAGUCGGUCUUAAAUCUUCUAGAAAUGAGGUUAGGUGUCACCUCCAACGUCCGAAUUUCAUGAAUUUCGGGAUAACUUGUACGAAUUAGUACCUAUUUGUCAAAUUUUUGUUGGUUCUUGGGGAAAUUAUCCAUUUUCCCCAAUGGUUAUUGUCCAAAUCCAAAUGGGGGUACAAUCGGUUAUGACCAUCAUUAUUUGAAUUUCAAAUUCCCCUAAAAAAGAAUCCCGAAAAGAUCCCCCAAUGGUCCUCUAUAUAAACGACCCAUUGUGUGCUUCUAAAGGGGAAUUUUUUUUUUUGGAGAGAUUUGAGGUCGAAACGGAGGGUUUGGAAAAGUGGGAUUUUUCCUUCUUUUGGGGGUUCGAAAAUUAUCUGAGAAAACUGAGGGGAAAAAUCUGCUGAGAGGUUGGUUCGAAAUUCUGGGCUGAGAAUUUUGGUUCUAAAAAACGAGAGCUCUUGGGGAGAAUUCAAUCUUUUAGUGAAGAUGUUUUUCGGUGGUGGUGAUCCUGACGGCAGUUCGUUGUUCUAUUUUGCUGCCCCGAAGGAGGUAAAAUUCUCGAUGCCUUAUUUCUUUUCUCUUCAUUUUGCCUCAUUUUCGCUUUUGAAGUAGUAAAAAUUUAUUUCUCUUAUUCUUUCCGGGAGUUAGCUGCAGAAACCUUGCAAGGUUGUAGGUUUUUCUUGAGGUGGUUGAACCAAAUUCAUGUUAAAAUUUGUGUUCUACUGAUAGUUUUAUUGUUUAGAUUUAUAUGUCUUGGGUCCACUGUCUCAUAUUGUUGAUGUUGGAUCACUAUAAUUUUAUUUUGAUAGAAAUCGACAUCUGCUAGGAUUAAUUCAUGUGUUUGUUUGGGUCAUUGUUACAGCCUGUAUUUGGAUCACCUUGAUUUAGGUCUAUUAGAUCAGAAUAAAGUGAUUUUGCAUUGAUUUGUUAGCUUGCUGAUUCAGGUUUAAGGAUUGCAUCGUUUUAAUUGUUAUUCUUCUAAAUGUUCUUUCCCUGAUACCUCUUUUGGUUUAAUGUUUUGGUUUAAGGCAUCUUGUUUCCAUUAUCUUAACUUCUAAAUGCUUAAUCUAUUGACUAUUUGUUUCAAGCGUUAGUCUGUCCAAUUGGUUUAAUUGCGUGUUUGUAGAUUAUAAUAGUUUCUCGUAGAAUCCUGCUGAUUCUAGAUUAGAUAAUUAAGUUGUCUCUCUUGUUAGAUUAACUUUGAGUUCAAUGAGAAUGAGAGUUGAAAGAGUCGAACUCUAGUGAAAAUCCUUGAAUAUCCUAACUCAGUUUCCCCAGGCUGCUCCUCACUCCAAGCUUUCCUAUCGCUCAUUGAAUUUUCUUUGCUAAAGUUAAAUAAAUCCUUUCGAGGUCAUUUUCUAGUGUAAGCUCGCAUUAAGUGCAUGUCUUUUCUUUGCUCAACUGUGUAUUAGUCCGCCCAAGAAGCAUAUUGAAGUUUUGUUUUAGCAUUAAACUCCCUUUUGAUUUUCUGUAUAUGUUAUUUUUGAAGGAUUGAUUCAAUAUCCUCUCUUCUUUUCCUUGUGAAAAUUUGUUGAACUCUUUCAUAAAAAUACUCAAACUUUUCGAUCGCGACAAGUUGUGAUUGUUGAUUUCAUUUUUAUCUCCCUUGAUCUUUUUUUUUUAGUUCAAGACGCUUGUCUUUGAUAAGAUCGGACGAUGUAUAUAGCCCUAUAUCUUUUUUUGACUCUUAUGAGUUUUGCCUAGAUAUUUGCCCUUAUCCUUUAAUUGGUCUCAUCGAUUUUUAGUUCAUUAUAUCUUUGGUAUGCUUAAAUGAUUAAUCUAGGUUUGUUAGGAGAAUGUUGUUUUGCCUUUGCGUUCCUUUAAAAAUGAUUUCUUUUGUUUUAUUUUUGGGAAGUAUUUUAUUAGCUGAAACGUACAGUCCUUUUUUUAAUUUGCAUAUGAUCUAUCUUUGCUGAAUUGAUCUAAAACAUGUUUUCCCAUUCCCCAUUGGCUCUUGAUGACUAAUUAGGAUUGUACUAUGUUGUUUCCUUUAGUUAAUCACGUGUCAGUUUUUCUUUCUCUCUUUGUUGAUCAUGUCUUAAUUACCUUUAGUUUUCCUCCUUGAUUGAUAGCAUAUUAGCUUCCUUUACUUUUUUACUUUCUUUCUUUCUUUCUUGGUUCGAUCAGGUACUAAUAUGCUUUAUUUUUUAUUUUAUUUAUUUAUUUAUUUUUUGCCGCCUUUGCAUGGAAAUCAUUUGGAUCCUAAAUGGACUUUCCCCAUUCUUUGCAUUAUUGAUAUGGACCACUGAGGCCUAUCCUUCCUCAGUCGAUUUCGAAAAUCAUAAGGAGACAACCUCAUAGUGCAUGAAUACGAGGAGAUCAAAGAAGACAAAUGGGUCCAAGUCCUACUGUUGAAGCGGUCAAGAGACUUGAAAGUAUCUUCUUCGCACGAGAUAUAUUUUAAUGUUGUGAAAUUAUAUUAUGCUUCGAGGAAAGAAGAUGAGAAGGCUGAAAGUGAUGAUGAAGCACCAAUGAGGCCUCCUAGGGAUAUUGAGCUAAUAGAAGAUACUGAAGUGCAUGAUAUUUGAAGUUUAUUUGUAUUUAUUGUAUUUGACAAUAUUGAACUUUAGGAGGACUAAGAUAUAGUUGAAAGAUGACAUCUUAAUAUUUUUUUUAUGUGAUUGUUAGAUUUUUUAUCGUUAUGAUUCUAAAAUAGAAUUGUUCGAUCUUACUUUAUGUUAUUGUUACGCAUAUUUUGGUAUGAAUAUGUGAUUUUCAGUU